rnacentral:lncRNA from 1 species
AUUCAAACAACCCAGAGAUGUCAAAGUUGCUUCACAAGGCUGUCCGUGAAAAGAGUGAAACUGCAUAUGCAGUCUAUCAACAGCAUCUCUCUAACAGACCUGUUAAUGUGAGUUUUUAGUUGCUCUUUCUCAAGCCAUCUUCAGUUUCUUGAUUUAGUUAUCUCUAUCUCUUUCUAUUUAGGUCCUCCGUGACCUGCUUGAGUUCAAGAGUGAUCGUGCACCGAUCCCAGUAGGGAAAGUAGAACCGGCCGUUGCUAUUGUUCAGAGAUUUUGUACUGGUGGAAUGUCACUUG